rnacentral:rRNA from 1 species
AGUGAACGCUGGCGGUAGGCCUAACACAUGCAAGUCGAACGGCAGCACAGUAAGAGCUUGCUCUUACGGGUGGCGAGUGGCGGACGGGUGAGGAAUACAUCGGAAUCUACUUUUUCGUGGGGGAUAACGUAGGGAAACUUACGCUAAUACCGCAUACGACCUACGGGUGAAAGCAGGGGAUCUUCGGACCUUGCGCGAUUGAAUGAGCCGAUGUCGGAUUAGCUAGUUGGCGGGGUAAAGGCCCACCAAGGCGACGAUCCGUAGCUGGUCUGAGAGGAUGAUCAGCCACACUGGAACUGAGACACGGUCCAGACUCCUACGGGAGGCAGCAGUGGGGAAUAUUGGACAAUGGGCGCAAGCCUGAUCCAGCCAUACCGCGUGGGUGAAGAAGGCCUUCGGGUUGUAAAGCCCUUUUGUUGGGAAAGAAAAGCAGCAGGUUAAUACCCCGCUGUUCUGACGGUACCCAAAGAAUAAGCACCGGCUAACGUCG